CACACUCUGCCUGUGGGUGGGGGGCUUUACAAAUGAUGUGCCGAAACCAUCACACCAGCAACCAGCUUCUUCUGGGCCCUUGAAACGAGAUUUCCCAUGAACUGCACUCACCAACAGGCUUCCUAGAGAAGCCUUAUGAAGCUGGCUUCAAAGUCUGUGGGGAAAAGAGAAAACAGACCGGCUUCAUGUGAGGUCACCAUUUCCAGAGCCGCGGUGGAAGGGGCACUUAAGCAUGAACGCAGUCAGUUAAAAAUGCCCAGCAGAGGAACAGGGCCAGGAACAGAAUGGGCACAUAAAGAGACCUCCAGGCUGGACCAUCCCCUGAUCACAGAAAAUGGGUGAUUCAGAAGCAGUACUUCAAAGAACCAACCAGAGCUAGUUCCAGAAUCCUGGCAACAGUGAAGAUAUAGCUCCAUCACGUGGUAUGAAAAAGAUCUCAAGUUCACCUAAUAAUAGUAAGACUGAUGUCCUCAAACUUCAUUAAGACAAGAUGUGUAGGGGGGGCGCCUGGGUGGCUCAGUUGGUUAAGCGACUGCCUUCGGCUCAGGUCAUGAUCCUGGAGUCCCUGGAUCGAGUCCCGCAUCGGGCUCCCUGCUCGGCAAGGAGUCUGCUUUGCCUUCUGACUCUAUCCCCUCUCAUGUGUUCUCUCUCAUUCUCUCUCUCCCAAAUAAAUAAAUAAAAUCUUUAAAAAAAAGACAA